rnacentral:rRNA from 1 species
AGGGCGUUCGGUGGAUGCCUGGGUACCGGGAGCCGAAGAAGGACGUUGCAGCCUGCGAUAUGCCUCGGGGAGCCGGCAAGCGGGCUUUGAUCCGAGGGUGUCCGAAUGGGGGAACCUGGCCGGGGUUGUGCCCGGUCGCUCGUGCCUGAAUUCAUAGGGUGCGGGUGGUGACGCGGGGAAGUGAAACAUCUUAGUACCCGUAGGAAGAGAUAUUCCGUGAGUAGUGGUGAGCGAAAGCGGAGGAGCCUAAACCGUGGGCGUGUGAGAGCCGUCGGGUGUUGCGUGUGCGGUGUUGUGGGAGAUGAUCGUGAUCAUGCCGACGCGUGGUCGCGCAGUGAUAAACCGUGGGGAUAGGCGAAGGGUCUGGGAAGGCCUGCCGGAGAGGGUGAGAGCCCCGUAGCUGAAAUUCUCGUGGCUGUGUGAUUGUGUUCCCGAGUAGCAUGGGGCCCGUGGAAUCCCGUGUGAAUCUGGCAAGACCACUUGUCAAGGCUAAAUACUCCUGGUGACCGAUAGUGGAGAGUACCGUGAGGGAAGGGUGAAAAGUACCCCGGGAGGGGAGUGAAAGAGUGCCUGAAACCGGGCGCCUACAAUCCGUCAGAGCCUCCGUGGUGGGGGUGAUGGCGUGCCUUUUGAAGAAUGAGCCUGCGAGUUAGUGGCAUGUGGCGAGGUUAACCCGUGUGGGGGAGUCGUAGCGAAAGCGAGUCCGAAGAGGGCGUGAGUCGCGUGUUCUAGACCCGAAGCGGGGUGAUCUACCCAUGGCCAGGGUGAAGCUCGUGUAAGAGCGUGUGGAGGCCCGAACCCACCAGGGUUGAAAACCUGGGGGAUGAGUUGUGGGUAGGGGUGAAAGGCCAAUCAAACUCCGUGAUAGCUGGUUCUCCCCGAAAUGCAUUUAGGUGCAGCGUCGCGUGUUGCCCGGCGGAGGUAGAGCUACUGGGUGGCUGAUGGGCCCCACAGGGUUACUGACGUCAACCAAACUCCGAAUGCCGUCUGGGUUGAGUGCGGCAGUGAGACUGCGGGGGAUAAGCUCCGUGGUCGAGAGGGAAACAGCCCGGAUCGCCGGCUAAGGCCCCUAAGCGUGUGCUAAGUGGGAAAGGAUGUGCGGUCGCGCAGACAACCAGGAGGUUGGCUUAGAAGCAGCCAUCCUUGAAAGAGUGCGUAAUAGCUCACUGGUCAAGUGGUUCCGCGCCGACAAUGUAGCGGGGCUUAAGCACACCGCCGACGCCGCGGCAGUCCAUCGUGGUCCUAGCCUGUCCGUUGGGCGGGUUCAGGGGGUGGGCUGGGUAGGGGAGCGUCCCGCGUUGGGUGAAGUCUCGGGGUGACCCGGGGUGGACGGCGUGGGAGUGAGAAUGCAGGCAUGAGUAGCGAGAGGCGGGUGAGAAACCCGUCCGCCGAUUGACUAAGGGUUCCAGGGCCAGGUUGAUCCGCCCUGGGUUAGUCGGGUCCUAAGGCGAGGCCGACGGGCGUAGUCGAUGGACAACGGGUUGAUAUUCCCGUACCGGCGCUUGACCGUUCAAUGUUCGCCGGGGUGAUGCUAACCAUCCCCGAUCCUGUGUGUCUCUUUCGGGAGGCGUGUGGGGGAGGGCGUGGGGUCCGAGCCUGGGUGGGCAAGCGUGGUAACAGGUGUGACGCAGAGUGGUAGUCCAACCGUGUCGUAUGGCUGAGCACGGCUAAGGGUGCAGCCCGUCUCCCAGGUAAAUCCGGGGGGCGUUCGGGUCAGGCCUGAUGGGGACCGUUUGACGGGAAGUGGAUGAUCCUGUGCUGCCGAGAAAAGCAUCGACGUCAGGGCAAGCGCCGCCCGUACCCGAAACCGACACAGGUGGUCAGGUAGAGUAUACCGAGGCGUGCGAGUCAAUCGUGGUUAAGGAACUCGGCAAAAUGCCCCCGUAACUUCGGGAGAAGGGGGGCCCCGGUCUUGACGUCCCCGUGCGGGGCGGAGGGGUCGGGGCCGCAGAGUCCAGGGAGAAGCGACUGUUUAUCAAAAACACAGGUCCGUGCUAAGCCGCAAGGCGAUGUAUACGGACUGACGCCUGCCCGGUGCUGGAAGGUUAAGCGGACUGGUCAGCCCUUCGGGGUGAAGCUGGGAAGUUAAGCCCCAGUAAACGGCGGUGGUAACUAUAACCAUCCUAAGGUAGCGAAAUUCCUUGUCGGGUAAGUUCCGACCUGCACGAAUGGCGUAACGACUUCUCCGCUGUCUCGACCACGAACUCGGUGAAAUUGCAGUACGAGUAAAGAUGCUCGUUUCGCGCAGCAGGACGGAAAGACCCCGGGACCUUUACUAUAGCUUGGUAUUGGUGUUCGGUACGGCUUGUGUAGGAUAGGUGGGAGACUGUGAACCGGUCACGCUAGUGGGCGGGGAGUCGUUGGUGAAAUACCACUCUGGCCGUGCUGACCAUCUAACCUCGGUCCGUGAUCCGGGCCAGGGACAGUGCCUGGUGGGUAGUUUAACUGGGGCGGUUGCCUCCUAAAGGGUAA